AAGACAUUGCUACUUACAAUUAGUUUUGCAGGUUUGCAUUUCAGCGUAUACAUGUAUAUAUGGCUGUGCAAAUCCAUGCAAAACUGAUUGUGAUAAUGUGUU
ensembl:miRNA